AUUGAACGCUGGCGGCAGGCCUAACACAUGCAGGUCGAGCGGGGACUUCGGUCCUAGCGGCGAACGGGUGAGUAAUGCUUGGGAAUCUGCCCAGUAGUGGGGGAUAACGUCCCGAAAGGGACGCUAAUACCGCAUACGUCCUACGGGAGAAAGAGGGGGAUCUUCGGACCUCUCGCUAUUGGAUGAGCCCAAGUCGGAUUAGCUAGUUGGUAGGGUAAUGGCCUACCAAGGCGACGAUCCGUAGCUGGUCUGAGAGGAUGAUCAGCCACACUGGAACUGAGACACGGUCCAGACUCCUACGGGAGGCAGCAGUGGGGAAUAUUGGACAAUGGGCGAAAGCCUGAUCCAGCCAUGCCGCGUGUGUGAAGAAGGCCUUCGGGUUGUAAAGCACUUUAAGCGGGGAGGAAGGUUCGCGGCCUAAUACGUCGCGGAAUUGACGUUACCCGCAGAAUAAGCACCGGCUAACUCUGUG
rnacentral:rRNA from 1 species